AGAUAAAAUCACAGCGUCAUCGUCCUCACAGAUUUUAGGGCUCCAGCGCUCCAGGAAUUGAGUCUGACACUCCUGCUGUAGAUUAUCAACCGUUUAUCAAACAUGUCAGCUUCUGGCUCAAUCAGCUGCAAAAGUGUGAGCAUUCGUGAGCGCUUGUCCAUAGCCAGCAGGUGGCGCAGGAACUCCUGACGCACUUCACGCACCAGCUGCCCGAACACGGCC